rnacentral:rRNA from 1 species
CACGUAGGGCGCGAGCGUUGUCCGGAAUUAUUGGGCGUAAAGAGCUCGUAGGCGGCCUGUUGCGUCCGCUGUGAAAGCCCGGGGCUUAACCCCGGGUCUGCAGUGGAUACGGGCAGGCUAGAGGUAGGUAGGGGAGAACGGGAAUUCCCGGUGUAGCGGUGAAAUGCGCAGAUAUCGGGAGGAACACCGGUGGCGAAGGCGGGUCUCUGGGCCGUUACUGACGCUGAGGAGCGAAAGCGUGGGGAGCGAACAGG